UUGACAUCCCUAUGUGUGAGUGGUUUUUCAUUGGGCUGCAUUUAGUAACCCGCUUUUACAGGGCCCAUGAUAAGAGGCCCAUUAUGUAAUCAGUAUUUUGAAACGGGAAAGUAACAUUCUUGGGCCAGAUAUUUCAUGCCAAUUUAUAUAACUCUUUUUUUUAUUUUUUAUUUUUUUUAUUUUUUUUAUGUGUGGUGUAGUGUAACCCCAAAUUCUAAUUUUUUAUCAAUUGAGUUGCACUUCGUUAUUAUUUAUUUAUUUUAGCUAAUGUAUUUUUUUGAUAAAUUAAAAAUUAAAUAAAUAAAUUUGAAAUCAUAUUAUAGUGGACUCGAAUUCAAAAUCUUUAGUCCUAAACAUUAAUCACUUUAUCAUUAGGCCAACAAACACUACUAUAGCUCAUAUU
rnacentral:lncRNA from 1 species